GUGUUUGAAACCAGGGUUGUUGAAAUCAGUUGAGUGAGCAUCUCUGACACGGCAACAACUGCUGUGCACUAUUUCUCACUAAAUCGCAAUCAUGAUAAAUUAUGGCGUUGUGCUGCUGUUGGGUGUUGAAUCGUUGAUGGUUGGGUCGACCACUGGUGUGCCGAUGUCACCUGGGUAUGGCGGAUAUCAAAGCACAACACUACUUUCUUAUUACUCAACAUCAACCAACGCUGCUCCAGCUUACUACACCAAGGCUCCAAAGUACUACACCACCAAGGCUUCAGAGUAUUACAAGUUUUAUUCAAGGAGAGAAUAGGCGAAAUAAUCAAGCGAGUGAUUAUCUCCGACACGACAACAACUGCCGUGCACUAUUUGUCACCAACUGCAUUCUUCAUCGUGCAUAGAGUAAACUGUGGCGUGUGCUGCGGUUGGUUGUCAAAUACCUCAAAUACUACACCACCGACACUUCAAUUUUUGCUGCCCGAGCUGCAUCACAAAGAGCCCGAACCCAUCCCCAGCAACGUCAACCUGCAGAAGGAAAGGCCAGUUUGUAUGUCCUUCAGAAGGUCACGGAGAUCAUUACGUAAAACUGUCAAUGCGGUGGUGUAGAGGUUGGGUGAGAACGGGAUGUGUUUGCUUCAUUAUCAAGCAGGUAAAAUAGCCGCAAGGCUUAAGAGAGGGGUCAGGGUGAGAAAAAGUCGUAUAAAAGAAGAGAGAAAAGGCGGUUGAAAUCAGUUGAGUGAAAAUCUCCGACACGGCAACAACUGCUGUGGACUAUUUGUCACCAACUGCAUUAUUCAUCGUAAUACCGGUUCGCAACCAAAUGUUAACUAUGGUGUCGUACUGCUGUUGGUUGCUGUAUCCUUGAUGGUUGGGUCGACUACUGGGGUACCGAUGUCUCGUGGGUAUGGUGGAUACCAAACCGCAACGCCGGCGUCUUACCACACAACAUCACACGCAACAACCAGAGUACUACACCACAACUUAUGAUGUCCCGAACUACUACACCGAAGCCUCAAAGUAUAAUUCUGCCUCGAAUUACACCACCGGAGUACUACACCACCAAGGCAGCGGAGUACUACACCACCAAGGCAGCGGAGUACUACACCACCAAGGCAGCGGAGUACUACACCACCAAGGCAGCGGAGUACUACACCACCAUGUAUGCUGCCCUUGCCUUUUAGACCGAGGCUCCCAAGUACUACUCCGUUCCCUGCUUCAGCACCGAGGCUCCAGCUUAUUACACCACCAAAUCGGUUAAAUAUUACACAGAAACGCCCAAGUACUAGUAUUUUGUCAACUUCGCGUCAGUUGUCUAUUGGUGUUGGAUUUCUUCAAGACCAGUAUGCUGAAUUGUGAAUUGUUUGUUUUAUUUUAUGUUUUAGAGGUGACUACUUCCUUAUUCAUACGGACAUGUUCUUGUGGUUCGACGAUGAUAUUUCAAGGAUUAGUUACGAAAGACACUUGUAACUGUAGAUUUUAUCAAAUCUUAUAAGUAAUGGGGAAGUGGCUGACCUUUGUAAAAAUGAAAGACUUUGAAGUUGAGAGAAAUAUAUUGAUACAAUUCAUAAACAAA
rnacentral:lncRNA from 1 species